GACGAACGCUGGCGGCGUGCCUAAUACAUGCAAGUUGAGCGCUGAAGUUUGGUACUUGUUCCGACUAGAUUAGCAGCGAACGGGUGAGUAACACGUGGGGAAUCUGCCUUUGAGCGUGGGAUAACAUUUGGAAACGAAUGCUAAUACCGCAUAAAAACUUUAAACACAAGUUUUAAGUGUGAAAGAUGCAAUUGCAUCACUCAAAGAUGAUCUCGCGUUGUCUUAACUAGUUUGUGAGGUAAACGCUCACCAAGGCGAAGAUACAUAGCCGACCUGGGAGGGGUGUCGGGCAAAAUGGGACUGAGACACGGCCCAAACUCCUACGGGAGGCAGCAGUAGGGAAUCUUCGGCAAUGGACGAAAGUCUGACCGAGCAAAGCCGCGUGAGUGAAGAAGGUUCUCGGAUCGUAAAACUCUGUUGGUAGGGAAGAACGUUGGGGGGAGUGGAAAGCGCAUGAAGUGACGGUAACUACCCAGAAAGGCACGGCUAACUACGUG
rnacentral:rRNA from 1 species